rnacentral:rRNA from 1 species
GACGAACGCUGGCGGCGUGCCUAAUACAUGCAAGUAGAACGCACAGUUUAUACCGUAGCUUGCUACACCAUAGACUGUGAGUUGCGAACGGGUGAGUAACGCGUAGGUAACCUGCCUGGUAGCGGGGGAUAACUAUUGGAAACGAUAGCUAAUACCGCAUAAUAUUGAUUAUUGCAUGAUAAUUGAUUGAACGAUGCUAUUGCAUCACUACCAGAUGGACCUGCGUUGUAUUAGCUAGUAGGUGAGGUAACGGCUCACCUAGGCGACGAUACAUAGCCGACCUGAGAGGGUGAUCGGCCACACUGGGACUGAGACACGGCCCAGACUCCUACGGGAGGCAGCAGUAGGGAAUCUUCGGCAAUGGACGAAAGUCUGACCGAGCAACGCCGCGUGAGUGAAGAAGGUGUUCGGAUCGUAAAGCUCUGUUGUAAGAGAAGAACGGGUGUGAGAGUGGAAAGUUCACACUGUGACGGUAUCUUACCAGAAAGGGACGGCUAACUACGUG